UACGUAGGGGCCUAGCGUUGUCCGGAUUUAUUGGGCGUAAAGAGCUCGUAGGCGGUUUGGUGAGUCGGGUGUGAAAUCUCCACGCUCAACGUGGAGGAGCCACCCGAUACUGCCAUGACUAGAGUCCGGUAGGGGAGUGUGGAAUUCCCGGUGUAGCGGUGAAAUGCGCAGAUAUCGGGAGGAACACCAGUAGCGAAGGCGGCUUCUGGCCUGUUCUUGACGCUGAGGCGCGAAAGCUAGGGGAGCAAACGGG
rnacentral:rRNA from 1 species